rnacentral:rRNA from 1 species
GACGAACGCUGGCGGCGUGCUUAACACAUGCAAGUCGAACGAUGAACCCGGAGCUUGCUCUGGGGGAUUAGUGGCGAACGGGUGAGUAACACGUGAGUAACCUGCCCUGGACUCUGGGAUAAGCGUUGGAAACGACGUCUAAUACCGGAUAGGACCUUGGAUCGCAUGAUCUGGGGUGGAAAGUUUUUUCGGUCUGGGAUGGACUCGCGGCCUAUCAGCUUGUUGGUGAGGUAAUGGCUCACCAAGGCGUCGACGGGUAGCCGGCCUGAGAGGGUGACCGGCCACACUGGGACUGAGACACGGCCCAGACUGCUACGGGAGGCAGCAGUGGGGAAUAUUGCACAAUGGGCGAAAGCCUGAUGCAGCAACGCCGCGUGCGGGAUGACGGCCUUCGGGUUGUAAACCGCUUUUAGUAGGGAAGAAGGGCUUCGGCUUGACGGUACCUGCAGAAAAAGGACCGGCUAAUUACGUG